rnacentral:rRNA from 1 species
UACGUAGGGUGCUAGCGUCGUUCGGAUUUACUGGGCGUAAAGCGCACGUAGGCGGACUAUUAAGUCAGGGGUGAAAUCCCGGGGCUCAACCCCGGAACUGCCUUUGAUACUGGUAGUCUUGAGUUCGAGAGAGGUGAGUGGAAUUCCGAGUGUAGAGGUGAAAUUCGUAGAUAUUCGGAGGAACACCAGUGGCGAAGGCGGCUCACUGGCUCGAUACAGACGCUGAGGUGCGAAAGCGUGGGGAGCAAACAGG